rnacentral:rRNA from 1 species
GACGAACGCUGGCGGCAUGCUUAACACAUGCAAGUCGAACGGAAAGGCCCUGUUUUUGUGCGGUGCUCGAGUGGAGAACGGGUGAGUAACACGUGGGUAACGUGCCACUGACUUUGAGAUAAGUUAAGGAAACAGGGGCUAAUACCGGAUAGGAGCUCCUGCUGCAGGGUGGGGGUUGGACAGUUUCGGCGGUUGGGAAUGAACUCGCGGCUUAUCAGAUUGUUGGUUGGGUAGUGUCUUACCAAGGCUUUGACGGGUAGCCGGCCUGAGAGGGUGACAUGCCAAACUGGAACUGAGAUACGGCCCAGACUCCUACGGUGGGCAACAGUGCGGUAUAUAGCACUAGGGGCGGAAGCCUAAUGUGGCAACGCCGCGUGCGGGGUGAGAUCAUUCGGGUUGUGAACCGCUGUCGUCUUAGACGAAGCGUGAAUGACGGUAAUGGGUAAAGAAGCACCGGCUAACUACGUG